GACGAACGCUGGCGGCGUGCUUAACACAUGCAAGUCGAACGGAAAGGCCCUGCUUUUGUGGGGUGCUCGAGUGGCGAACGGGUGAGUAACACGUGAGUAACCUGCCCUUGACUUUGGGAUAACUUCAGGAAACUGGGGCUAAUACCGGAUAGGAGCUCCUGCUGCAUGGUGGGGGCUGGACAGUUUCGGCGGUUGGGGAUGGACUCGCGGCUUAUCAGCUUGUUGGUGGGGUAGUGGCUUACCAAGGCUUUGACGGGUAGCCGGCCUGAGAGGGUGACCGGACACAUUGGGACUGAGAUACGGCACAGACUCCUACGGGAGGCAGCAGUGGGGAAUAUUGCACAAUGGGCGGAAGCCUGGUGCAGCAACGCCGCGUGCGGGAUGACGGCCUUCGGGUUGUAAACCGCUUUCGCCUGUGACGAAGCGUGAGUGACGGUAAUGGGUAAAGAAGCACCGGCUAACUACGUG
rnacentral:rRNA from 1 species